UGCGUGGGAACGAUAAUGGAUUUCUCCCAAUUGGUCAGGAAGCCUAGGUUCUCUAACAGAGACAAAGUCCUUGCAAGGUAUGUCCGGAUUAAUUGAAUAGACUGAGCCAGAAUGAAAAUGCCAUCUAAAUAUAUUAUAAGAUGUGAGCUUGGUGAAGCACCAUGGAGCCGAAGACAGUCCGAAUGGGAGGCACCUGAACCUCUAUUUACUGCCCUACCAUUUAAAUUGCAGGAAGUUCUCGAUCUUGAUGUUGUACUGGGAUAGGCACUGUGAGAUAUGCAUCCUGCAGA